rnacentral:rRNA from 1 species
UACGUAGGGUGCGAGCGUUGUCCGGAAUUACUGGGCGUAAAGUGUGCGCAGGCGGCCGCGCAAGUCGAGUGUGAAAGCCCCGAGCUUAACUUGGGAAUUGCGCUCGAAACUACGUGGCUGGAGUGUGGCAGAGGAAGGUGGAAUUCCACGUGUAGCGGUGAAAUGCGUAGAGAUGUGGAGGAACACCAAUGGCGAAGGCAGCCUUCUGGGCCAACACUGACGCUCAUGCACGAAAGCGUGGGGAGCGAACAGG